AGAGUUUGAUCCUGGCUCAGGAUGAACGCUGGCGGCGUGCUUAACACAUGCAAGCCGAACGAAGCACUUGGGAAAGAUUCUUCGGAUGAAAGCCUUUGUGACCGAGUGGCGGACGGGUGAGUAACGCGUGGGUAACCUACCUCAUACAGGGGGAUAACAGUUGGAAACGACCGCUAAUACCGCAUAACCCGCUAGUAUCGCAUGAUACAGACGGAAAAGAUUUAUCAGUAUGAGAUGGACCCGCGUCUGAUUAGCCAGUUGGCAGGGUAACGGCCUACCAAAGCGACGAUCAGUAGCCGGCCUGAGAGGGUGAACGGCCACAUUGGGACUGAGACACGGCCCAAACUCCUACGGGAGGCAGCAGUGGGGAAUAUUGCACAAUGGGGGAAACCCUGAUGCAGCGACGCCGCGUGAGUGAGGAAGUAUUUCGGUAUGUAAAGCUCUAUCAGCAGGAAAGAAAAUGACGGUACCUGACUAAGAAGCCCCGGCUAACUACGUG
rnacentral:rRNA from 1 species